rnacentral:lncRNA from 1 species
CGGCCGCGGCAGCAAAAGGACAGGGCCCGCCGCGUGGAGGUCGGAUGAGCCUCAGGCCUGCCCUCUCGUGCUGCGGCUUCUGGGCGCCGGUGUCCCGCAGCCGCCAAUCUGCCCGUGGAGGGGCGACGGCAGGUGCGGGGACCGGACCGCCCUCCCGCCGAGGUGACGACCAAUGGGGAUCCGGGCCGGCGAGGCUGUGCCGAGACCCAGCCCGACGCGCCGCCCACUCUGGGCUGGCUCGGGAUUCGGGGCGCCGUGCGCGUGGGGCCGGCCGGGGGACAGCGCGUCUGCUCCCCGCGCCCGCAGCCUGGGAGUGCGAAGGUUGGCCUUCGAUGCUGCGGAGGCGAGCACAGCUCUACAAUUGGGAGGGCCGAAGCACAAGUUGCUUAGAGCGGUUCGGUUCAUCUAGCACGAAGUGCUUGAACUUCAGAGGACCUGCACAUGCGAGUGGGAGCCAGUCUGUGUGUCCCAAGACGCAGGUUCGGAGUGUCACUCUCCGUUUCUUCAAGACCUGUGUUUGUUUGUUUGUUUUCUCUUCUUGCCACAGGGUCUUGCUCUGUA